UGUAGCAAUACACAGUCGAGCGGCGAACGGGUGAGUAACGCGUGGAUGACCUGCCCUGGGGUGGGGGAUAACUCGGGGAAACUCGAGCUAAUACCGCAUAGGAUCGAGAGAUCAAAGGGGGCCGCAAGGCUCUCGCCAUGGGAGGGGUCCGCGUCCGAUUAGCUAGCUGGUGGGGUAAUGGCCUACCAGGGCGACGAUCGGUAGCCGGCCUGAGAGGGUGAUCGGCCACACUGGAACUGAGACACGGUCCAGACUCCUACGGGAGGCAGCAGUGGGGAAUUUUGCGCAAUGGGCGAAAGCCUGACGCAGCAACGCCGCGUGGAGGAUGAAGGGCCUUGGAUUGUAAACUCCUGUCAGCGGGGAAAAAGGGAGGUGACCUCAUACGUCAUCGACUUGAUUGUACCCGCAGAGGAAGCCCCGGCUAACUCUGUGCCAGCAGCCGCGGUAAUACAGAGGGGGCAAGCGUUAUUCGGAAUUAUUGGGCGUAAAGGGCGCGUAGGCGGCUUUGCAAGUGACGGGUGAAAUCCCACGGCUUAACCGUGGAACUGCCUGUCGGACUGCAUGGCUUGAGACCAGGAGAGGUGAGUGGAAUUCCCAGUGUAGCGGUGAAAUGCGUAGAUAUUGGGAGGAACACCAGUGGCGAAGGCGGCUCACUGGACUGGUACUGACGCUGAGGCGCGAAAGCGUGGGGAGCAAACAGGAUUAGAUACCCUGGUAGUCCACGCCGUAAACGAUGAGUGCUUGGUGUAGCGGGUAUCGACCCCUGCUGUGCCGAAGUCAACACAUUAAGCACUCCGCCUGGGGAGUACGGUCGCAAGACUGAAACUCAAAGGAAUUGAC
rnacentral:rRNA from 1 species